UAGAUACCCUGGUAGUCCACGCCGUAAACGAUGUCGACCAGCCGUUGGGUGCCUAGCGCACUUUGUGGCGAAGUUAACGCGAUAAGUCGACCGCCUGGGGAGUACGGCCGCAAGGUUAAAACUCAAAUGAAUUGACGGGGGCCCGCACAAGCGGUGGAGCAUGUGGUUUAAUUCGAUGCAACGCGAAGAACCUUACCUAUCUUGACAUCCUGCGAGCUUGUGAGAGAUCACUUGGUGCCUUCGGGAACGC
rnacentral:rRNA from 1 species